AUGACUCUGACGAUCUCUUCUACAGAAGUGAAAGACUCUGCCAUGUACUACUGUGCCCUGCAGCCCACAGUGACAGGAAACACAACCACACUUUACUGUGAAUCUAAUGGAAAUGUCAUCAGACCAAACCAGCCAUCUGUAGUUUUAGCUGAAGGAAGCAGCACCACUCUGUCCUGUUCAUAUGAUGGAUCAGCUUACAGUCUUCACUGGUAUCGACAGAAGCCUGGAUCAAAACCAGAGUUUCUGCUGCUGAUUGUGAGGUCUACUAAAACUGUAGUUCCAGCUUCUCCACCUCACACACAUAUGUACAUCAGACUCCAUGAUAAUAAAAGUGUGGAUCUGGAGAUCUCCUCUGCUGCUGUAUCAGACUCUGCAGUGUAUUACUGUGCCCUGGAGCCCACAGUGACAGGAAAACAAACUACACUGUACAAAAACCUUCUUGUUGUUUGUCUGUUGCAUAGUCGCACAUGA